rnacentral:lncRNA from 1 species
UCUACACUAGAGUUUGAAUCGAGAAUUGUAGAGUUAGUAUAUUUUUUACCUUGCACUUCCACUGUUAACUUAAUUGGGUUUGAUUGAAUCAUCUUAUCAACUCUUACAUUUUGCUUUAGCUCCUCCAACACCUUAUUUAUUAGUGUAAUGGCCUUGACAUGCUGUUUGGGAUUAGUCUCUGAGUUACUUGGUAAUGACCCUUGAGUUCGACCCCAACAGCAUUA